GGGGGAGUAGCUCAGUCGGGAGAGUGCGGCGUUCGCAAUGCCGAGGUCGUGGGUUCGAUCCCCAUCUCCUCCA
rnacentral:tRNA from 1 species